AGCCCCGGGCAGUGAGGGGCUCCACCAGGGAGACCCCUCAGGUCUCAGGGAUCCAUGGCCCUGCGGGCAUUGGGGGAACAGUCAAGGACCUGUAAGCCAAUGCAUGGGCCAGAAGAGGGGCGGCGUGGGAGACGCAGGGUCAGGUAGGCCUGCAGGUGCUGGGGGUGCUCUGUGUGUGCUGGGGGUGCCUGCCCUUCCCCCACGGACCGCCCCUCUGUCACCAGACAGGGGAUUGGCAAGUAGGGGAGGGGCAAGCCUCAGCUUGUGAUGCCUGUGGGACCCCCAGUCCAGCCAAGUGGAGAGGAGGACACCAUUAAAACAGACGCAAGUCUCAUUUUGGAGGCCUGUGGGCAGGAUUCCAGCCCAGACAAGGCCCAGAGUUCGAAUGUGUGUACAAAACCCCGAGCCCACCUGCCGGCCCAGGAGGGGGCCUGGACCCCCACAGAGGGCAGUGGGGCCACCUGGACGCCCUGGGCCUCUGCGCAGCCCAGCCUGGGGUGGGCAGUGAUGCUCCUGGGGUUUCCCCCAGGUCCAGACGGCGGAGCUGGAGCAGGCCCACAGCCAGCAGCUCCAGGAGCUGGUCGCCCAGCACCAGCGACUCCAGGCUGCCAAGACCGAGCGCCUGCACGGGGCCCGACCACAGGCUGCACAGGCCCCAGUAUCCCGAGAGAGGGCCCAGCAGCAGCAGGUGGCCAGCCGGAGGCAGCCGCUGGACCGGGACGUGCAGUGGCUGCAAGCCUGCCUCCACCAGGCCUUCCGGGCCAAGAAGUGAAGGCGGCUCCCAAGCCCAGGUGGCCAGGCCGCCCCAGCCCCGACCAGCAGGCAGCAGAACCACCGCACAGCAGGGACUCGAGCUCAAGGGGCGCCCUGGAGUCAGCGGCGCCCUCUGACCCUUGACCGCCAAGCUGCCCCGGCCCUCAGGGGCCCAGGGCUGGCCCGGACUCUGGCAGGCGAGGACCGAGCUCUGGGCCCUGCUCUUUGAGGCGCCCCCCAACCCCCGGCUGCACGGGGCCUCCCUGCGGCCCGCGUCCGACCUGGCACCAGGCAGGCGUGCUGACCGGGCCAGGUCCCGGCAGGCCGACUUCCGCACCGCGGGCUGC
rnacentral:lncRNA from 1 species